ACGCUCGACACCUACGGGAGGCNGCAGUGGGGAAUAUUGCACAAUGGGGGAAACCCUGAUGCAGCGACGCCGCGUGAGCGAAGAAGUAUUUCGGUAUGUAAAGCUCUAUCAGCAGGGAAGAAACUGACGGUACCUGACUAAGAAGCACCGGCUAAAUACGUGCAAGCAGCCGGCGGUAAUCUGAGCGGGCUGGCAAGGC
rnacentral:rRNA from 1 species